rnacentral:tRNA from 1 species
CGGGGCGUGGCGCAGCCUGGUAGCGCACCUGCUUUGGGAGCAGGGGUCGCCGGUUCGAAUCCGGCCGCCCCGA